AAUCACCGCACCUUACGUGUGUGGUGGUGUGCCUAUUGAAGCAUGAGCCGGCGACUUAGACCUACCUAGCAAGCUUAAGUGGCUACACGGAGGCGGAGCGAAAGCGAGUCCGAACAGGGCGUGCAGUUAGGUGGGCUAGACUCGAAACCAGGUGAGCUACGCAUGACCAGGUUGAACCGCCCGUGACAGGGCGUGGAGGACCGAACCGGUGCCUGCUGAAACAGUCUCGGAUGAGUUGUGUGUAGGAGUGAAAAGCUAACCGAACCUGGAGAUAGCUAGUUCUCCCCGAAAUGUAUUG
rnacentral:rRNA from 1 species